rnacentral:rRNA from 1 species
GAUGAACGCUGGCGGCGUGCCUAAUACAUGCAAGUCGAGCGAACGGACGAGAAUCUUGCUUCUCUGAUGUUAGCGGCGGACGGGUGAGUAACACGUGGAUAACCUACCUAUAAGACUGGGAUAACUUCGGGAAACCGUAGCUAAUACCGGAUAAUAUUUUGAACCGCAUGGUUCAAAAGUGAAGGACGGUCUUGCUGUCACUUAUAGAUGGAUCCGCGCUGCAUUAGCUAGUUGGUAAGGUAACGGCUUACCAAGGCAACGAUGCAUAGCCGACCUGAGAGGGUGAUCGGCCACACUGGAACUGAGACACGGUCCAGACUCCUACGGGAGGCAGCAGUAGGGAAUCUUCCGCAAUGGGCGAAAGCCUGACGGAGCAACGCCGCGUGAGUGAUGAAGGUCUUCGGAUCGUAAAACUCUGUUAUUAGGGAAGAACAUAUGUGUAAGUAACUGUGCACAUCUUGACGGUACCUAAUCAGAAAGCCACGGCUAACUACGUG